ensembl:snoRNA
CUCGAGGUAGAUUCACGCAUGGGUAUCCACAGUUGCCUUAGUGUGCUAGAGCCCUCUGAGAAUAACUGCUGGCCUUACUCGCUAGCUGUGGGCCUUGUGGCGCAGUCACCGGGUUAGUGACAGGC